rnacentral:rRNA from 1 species
CCUGGUUGAUCCUGCCAGUAGUCAUAUGCUUGUCUCAAAGAUUAAGCCAUGCAUGUGUAAGUACAGGCCGACUUAAGGCGAAACCGCGGACGGCUCAUUAAAUCAGAUUAACUCAUUGGAUUCUGCUGAACGCAUUACUUGAUACUGUGUAAUUCUAGAGCUAAUAAUGCUUGUAGUCUCGACCGCGAGGGAGCGCUUUUAUUAGACAAACCCUCGCAGCCGUCCCGCAGGGCCGGCGCACACUUGUGAAUCAGAAUAACUUUUGCCGAGCGCACGACCCCUCCCGUAACCCGGGUUGGGUCGGCGCCGCGUCCUGCAGGCGUCUGCCUUAUCAGCUCUCGAUUGUAGGUUAAACGCCUACAAUGGCUAUCACGGGUAACGGGGAAUCAGGGUUCGAUUCCGGAGAGGGAGCCUGAGAAACGGCUACCACAUCUAAGGAAGGCAGCAGGCGCGCAAAUUACCCACUCCCGGCACGGGGAGGUAGUGACGAAAAAUACUGUUGCGAGCCCCGAACGGGGCCUCGCAAUUGGAAUGAGUACACUUUAAAUCCUUGUACGAGGAUCGAGUGGAGGGCAAGUCUGGUGCCAGCCGCCGCGGUAAUUCCAGCUCCACUAGCGUAUAUUAAAGUUGUUGCGGUUGAAACGCUCGUAGUUUGACUUCUGCUCCGGACCGGCGGUCCGCCUUAGCGGCGGCUACUGCCGGGUUCCGAGCUGUGUCCCCGCCGGCGCACAUGGGGUUUUUAUGCCCUUAACCGGGUGUCCCCUUGUGGCCGGCACGUUUACUUUGAAAAAAUUAGAGUGCUCAGAGCAGGCUGGUUUUUGCUUACAGCCCGAAUGGUCGUGCAUGGAAUGAUGGAACAGGACCUCGGUUCUAUUUUGUCGGUUUUUCGGAACCCGAGGUAAUGAUUAAUAGAAGCAGACGGGGGCAUUCGUACUGCGACGCUAGAGGUGAAAUUCUUAGACCGUCGCAUGACGACCUACUGCGAAAGCAUCUGCCAAGGAUGUUUUCAUUGAUCAAGAACGAAAGUUAGAGGUUCGAAGGCGAUCAGAUACCGCCCUAGUUCUAACCUUAAACGAUGCUGACUAGCGAUCCGCCGCAGUUAUUCCCAUGACCCGGCGGGUAGCUUCCGGGAAACCAAAGUCUUUGAGUUCCGGGGGAAGUAUGGUUGCAAAGCUGAAACUUAAAGGAAUUGACGGAAGGGCACCACCAGGAGUGGAGCCUGCGGCUCAAUUUGACUCAACACGGGGAAACUCACCAGGCCAGGACACCGGAAGGAUUGACAGAAUGAAGGCUCUUUCUCGAUUCGGUGGGUGGUGGUGCAUGGCCGUUCUUAGUUGGUGGAGUGAUCUGUCUGGUUAAUUCCGAUAACGAACGAGACUCUAGCCUGCUAAAUAGUCGACGGAUCUCAACCCCGUUGCCCCCGUUGUCGUUCGCGGCGAUGCGGGGCGCGGGUUCCCCGAAACCCGGUCGUCGUGCGGGCCUCCACCGUCGGUCGGUUAGCGCCGCCGGCGGCGCGCCCCGCGGCGCCGGAAACUGGCGUCCGCUUCGCAGUCUUCUUCUUAGAGGGAUAAGCGGCAGCAAAAAAUAUACUAGCCGCACGAGAGUUUGAGCCAUAACAGGUCUGUGAUGCCCUUAGAUGUUCUGGGCCGCACGCGCGCUACAAUGGAGAGUUCAGCGAGCUGUCCCUGCUCCGAGAGGAGCGGGUAACCUCGUGAAAGCUGUCCUUAAAGGGGAUUGGGGCUUGCAAAUGUUCCCCAUGAACGAGGAAUUCCCAGUAGGCGCAAUUCACCAGAUUGCGCCGAUUUAGUCCCUGCCCUUUGUACACACCGCCCGUCGCUACUACCGAUUGAAUGGUCUAGUGAGGGCACCGGACUGGCGCCCUUGGAGCCGCUACCGCCUCGGCGGGCAGCGCCCUCGGGUCGACGGAAAGGUGUCCAAGCUGGGUCAUUUAGAGGAAGUAAAAGUCGUAACAAGGUUUCCGUAGGUGAACCUGCGGAAG